AUUGAACGCUGGCGGCAGGCCUAACACAUGCAAGUCGAGCGGAAACGGAGAUAGCUUGCUAUCAGACGUCGAGCGGCGGACGGGUGAGUAAUGCCUAGAUAUCUGCCUAGUCGUGGGGGAUAACAGUUGGAAACGACUGCUAAUACCGCAUACGCCCUACGGGGGAAAGGAGGGGACCUUCGGGCCUUUCGCGAUUAGAUGAGUCUAGGUGGGAUUAGCUAGUAGGUGAGGUAAUGGCUCACCUAGGCGACGAUCCCUAGCUGUUCUGAGAGGAUGAUCAGCCACACUGGGACUGAGACACGGCCCAG
rnacentral:rRNA from 1 species